rnacentral:rRNA from 1 species
AAUCUUACGGGAGGCAGCAGUGUGGAAUAUUGCACAAUGGGGGAAACCCUGAAGCCGCAACGCCGGGUGAGUGAUGACGGCCUUCGGGUUGUAAAACUCGGUCUUUCGGGACGAUAAUGACGGUACCUAAGGAGGAAGCCCCGGCUAACUACGUGCCAGCAGCCGCGGUAAUACGUAGGGGGCAAGCGUUGUUCGGAUUUACUGGGCGUAAAGGGAGCGUAGGCGGUUUUUUAAGUCGGAUGUGAAAUCCCCGGGCUUAACCUGGGGACUGCAUUCGAAACUGGAUAUCUAGAGUGCGGGAGAGGAAAGUGGAAUUCCUAGUGUAGCGGUGAAAUGCGUAGAUAUUAGGAGGAACACCAGU